CGCUGGUGCGGAUGCAAACGUAAGCGCGCGUUCGUAGGGAGAAGGUCUUUCAGACACAGACAAGUUAAGAUGACCAACAUAACUAUUGCGUGCAUCUGGAUGCUCAUGUUACUGAUUCAUUCUUCGAUACUAGUAGACUCUGUUAACGGGAGCGAGGGUAACAAGACUGUAGACUCGGGCGCAGGCUCGGGCGCGCUCCCGAGCGCCCUCGGCCUCCUCCUCCCUUUCCUCCUGCAAGCGCUCCUGCACGCUCGCUGAUGAACGUGCCGGAUGAACCAAAAGACAGAGACGGCGGCGAAGAUGAGCGAGGCAGAACCACACAAAGUGCUUUCAUAUACUCUCGACACCCAGUCGGUCUGAAGACCACCGAGACCACCGACACCUAACCAUCUGGAGACAAUAAAUUACUUCAUUCUUUUCUUUUUUUUUAAUUCUCAGUUGUCCCGACCGACACCUGUUGGGAUGGUGUCGUAAAGCUCUCGCGUAAACACACACCGAACCGAUCGAGGAUAUAUAAAAGUAUUUUUUUUUUUAAUUGGCUCCUGCAAACGUUUUGUCUCAUGGGUUUGCCGCUGUUCCUGUAACUACCGAUGAGUAAAUCUCUCUCUGAAUUCGAGUAUUAACUAAAGCAAAUUAAGAAUCGACUUCUGUCCAGUCAACACCCCCGGCCCCAUUUUAUAGACGCCUGUCAAGGUCUUAAUAUUCAGUUUAAUCAGAUUUAACCAAGGGGCCUCAAUCAGUCAGAUUUCACAGUUACGUCUCCAGUUGCAUUUGAUUAUCCCCCUGUAUUCAAACAGCCCUGUUAUCUGAGAUUUCGUUUUUGUAUGGCUCGUUAGUGUCGUUAAAACUAACGGAGCACAAUAAAAUAACGAUUACGUCA